GCGGGGCGAGGAGCGCAGCCCGGGACCCGACUCGGGCCGUGGGAGGAGCCUAGGAGGAAAUGCGGGCUGAGGGAGGAGCCUGGGACAGGGGCGAGGCUUAAAGUGACGGGGCCCGGAGUAGGCCGGUGGGUGGAGCUGGGACGAGUAUGGGAGGAGCCUGUAGAUGGCGCCGAGGCCACGAAGCUUUCGGCGCUGCUCACAAUCUCAGCCAUACCUGUCAGUCCUUGGGAAGUUUAGCAAAUCUUGUGCACUACUACAGGAUACAACCUGACACUGAGAGCCCACUCCAUCUGGCCUGCGAUAAUCUGAAAGUCCCCAAUUCCUGUUAAAUCCCAGGGCUCAGUGUGACCGCAUCAAGUAGAGAUACUGGCUCAGACCUGUAAUCCCAGCAAUCGAGAGGAUCACGGACUUAAAGCUGCCUCAGCGACAUACAGACCUAGGGUCAAACGUAUGACCCUAUUUCAAGAAGCAGUUAAAUUGUUGCUUUCAGAGCAGAAGGAUCAUUUUCGUUAACAAAAUAAAAUAACCCUACAGAAAAGCUAUCCUUUCACUCACUCUGAUGAAACAGGAUUGAACACCUGUGUGCUGUCAGGGGUAUUGUGUCUUUUAUGACUGUCAUUGGCUGUUCUCUGUAUU